rnacentral:rRNA from 1 species
AAUAGAUACCCUGGUAGUCCACGCCCUAAACGAUGCAUAUUUGGUGUAGGUCAUUCGGUUGAUCUGUGCCGGAGCUAACGCGUUAAAUAUGCCGCCUGGGGAGUACAGUCGCAAGGCUGAAACUCAAAGGAAUUGACGGGGGCCCGCACAAGCGGUGGAGCAUGUGGUUCAAUUCGACGCAACGCGAAGAACCUUACCUGGGCUCGAACGGCUGGUCAACGAUCGUGGAAACACGGUUACUCCGCAAGGAGGUCCAGUCGAGGUGCUGCAUGGCUGUCGUCAGCUCGUGUCGUGAGAUGUUGGGUUAAGUCCCGCAACGAGCGCAACCCUUGUCCUGUGUUGCCAUCCCGCAAGGGGGGACUCGCAGGAGACCGCCAGCGAUAAGCUGGAGGAAGGUGGGGAUGACGUCAAGUCCUCAUGGCCUUUAUGUCCAGGGCUACACACGUGCUACAAUGGCCGGUACAAAGCGCAGCUAAGUCGCGAGACGGAGCCAAUACGCAAAAAACCCGGUCUCAGUUCGGAUU